CGGCCACAUCACUUGAAACACCUGUUCUCGUACGAUCACCGAAUUUAAGCAACGUCGAACCUGGUCAGUAGCUAAAUGGGUGACCGCUUAGUAAUACCAGGUGCUGUAAG